CUUAUCAUUUUCUAUCUACUGAGAAUAGACCAUGAGCCUGGAUAUGUCUACCUUCUUAAUCAACAUCAUUGUUCUAAUCUCCUUAACAAUACUAUCUGAUACCCCAGAUACGAACUUGCUCAUUCUGGACCUACUAUCUACUACUAUAUGGGGAGCAUACCUAGCUAACUGAGUAAAUUUAAGGGAAUACUCUUUCACACUCAUACCGCCCUGCCUGAGAUUGAUGAACUCUAACAC
rnacentral:lncRNA from 1 species